UACACUCCUACGGGAGGCAGCAGUGGGGAAUAUUGGACAAUGGGCGCAAGCCUGAUCCAGCCAUGCCGCGUGAGUGAUGAAGGCCCUAGGGUUGUAAAGCUCUUUCACCGGUGAAGAUAAUGACGGUAACCGGAGAAGAAGCCCCGGCUAACUUCGUGCCAGCAGCCGCGGUAAUACGAAGGGGGCUAGCGUUGUUCGGAUUUACUGGGCGUAAAGCGCACGUAGGCGGACUAUUAAGUCAGGGGUGAAAUCCCGGGGCUCAACCCCGGAACUGCCUUUGAUACUGGUAGUCUUGAGUUCGAGAGAGGUAAGUGGAAUUCCGAGUGCAGAGGUGAAAUUCGUAGAUAUUCGGAGGAACACCAGUGGCGAAGGCGGCUCACUGGCUCGAUACUGACGCUGAGGUGCGAAAGCGUGGGGAGCAAACAGGAUUAGAAACCCCAGUAGUCCCAUG
rnacentral:rRNA from 1 species